CCUACGGGAGGCAGCAGUGAGGAAUAUUGGUCAAUGGACGAGAGUCUGAACCAGCCAAGUAGCGUGAAGGAUGACUGCCCUACGGGUUGUAAACUUCUUUUAUAUGGGAAUAAAACAGGGUAUGCAUACCCUCUUGUAUGUACCAUAUGAAUAAGGAUCGGCUAACUCCGUGCCAGCAGCCGCGGUAAUACGGAGGAUCCGAGCGUUAUCCGGAUUUAUUGGGUUUAAAGGGAGCGUAGGUGGAUUGUUAAGUCAGUUGUGAAAGUUUGCGGCUCAACCGUAAAAUUGCAGUUGAAACUGGCAGUCUUGAGUACAGUAGAGGUAGGCGGAAUUCGUGGUGUAGCGGUGAAAUGCUUAGAUAUCACGAAGAACUCCGAUUGCGAAGGCAGCUUACUGGACUGCAACUGACACUGAUGCUCGAAAGUGUGGGUAUCAAACAGGAUUAGAUACCCCUGUAGUC
rnacentral:rRNA from 1 species